CACCUACGGGGCGCAGCAGUGGGGGAUAUUGCACAAUGGGGGAAACCCUGAUGCAGCGACGCCGCGUGUGGGAAGACGGUCCUCUGGAUUGUAAACCCCUGUCCCCAGGGACGAAAAUGACGGUACCUGGGGGAGGAAGCUCCGGCUAACUACGUGCCAGCAGCCGCGGUAAUACGUAGGGAGCGAGCGUUGUCCGGAAUUACUGGGUGUAAAGGGAGCGUAGGCGGGAAUGCAAGUUGGGUGUCAAAACUACCGGCUCAACUGGUAGUCGCCCUCAAA
rnacentral:rRNA from 1 species